rnacentral:rRNA from 1 species
UACGAAGGGGGGCUAGCGUUGCUCGGAAUCACUGGGCGUAAAGGGUGCGUAGGCGGGUCUUUAAGUCAGGGGUGAAAUCCUGGAGCUCAACUCCAGAACUGCCUUUGAUACUGAGGAUCUUGAGUUCGGGAGAGGUGAGUGGAACUGCGAGUGUAGAGGUGAAAUUCGUAGAUAUUCGCAAGAACACCAGUGGCGAAGGCGGCUCACUGGCCCGAUACUGACGCUGAGGCUCGAAAGCGUGGGGAGCAAACAGG